UACGUAGGGAGCGAGCGUUGUCCGGAAUUAUUGGGCGUAAAGAGCUCGUAGGCGGUGUGUCACGUCGGCCGUGAAAACCUGCAGCUUAACUGUGGGCGUGCGGUCGAUACGGGCAUCACUGGAGUUCGGCAGGGGAGACUGGAAUUCCUGGUGUAGCGGUGAAAUGCGCAGAUAUCAGGAGGAACACCGGUGGCGAAGGCGGGUCUCUGGGCCGAUACUGACGCUGAGGAGCGAAAGCGUGGGGAGCAAACAGG
rnacentral:rRNA from 1 species